rnacentral:lncRNA from 1 species
UCUCCGCCUCCCCGCCGUCCGUGCGCCCCUCUGGUCCGCCCCCGCUCUCACCCUGCCGGGGUCCGGGUCCGAGCCUGCCCCGGGCUUACUCCGCUCUUUCCUCCCGGCCCGCGAGUCCCCGGAUCCGCGGCGACCUCGCGGGGACCCCCAGCGGGGACGGGGCAGUGGCGGCGAGUCUGGGGCCCCGAGGGCUUUCUCCUCCGCUUUUGAUAGUUUCCUUCCGGCAGAAAGUUUAAGUUGCUCAGCCAAGUCGCUGAGUGCUCUUUUGCCUCCUGGGGGCAAUUGAUUUACUCACGUAAAACAGAAAAAUAAAACCAAAAGCGAACCCAGCCAAGGGGGUGAAAGCCGAGGGCGCGGCCGGGGUGGAAGGUGAGGCAGUGACCUGUGCGGAGCGCGCCCUGCAAACUUCCCUGCUGCGGGUGAAAGAAGCUGCCUGGGAAAGUCCUCCCCACCAUCACUCCCCUAAAGUGGGGUUUUCUCCGCCCGAAGAAGCCUUAAAGCAGCCAGAAACAAAAAAGCAGUCAAUCCGUGCGGCCCGGGGACUGCAGACAGGGGACCCGGCGAGGACGCAGGGAGCCGCUGGCGAACCGCCCCUGGGAAUUCAGAUAAACGUAGGGUCGCUUCCUUUCGGGGGCCCACUCCGCAUUCCAGAAUUCCUUCUUCUAAAAGAAGAGCCGGUUCUAAGGGCGUUUUCAGCAGCCAUUAGCAUCUGGUGUACCCGCCCGUGUCAUUGGCAAAGCUGGUCUCAUGAAAACCAUUUCCUAAAAAAGGGCAGCGAAAGGGUCGCAUUCUUGUGCGAACUGAUCUGUCAAGAUGGGGGUACAAGAACUGUAGAAAGAGGAAAUGAUUUCGGUGAGGACUGAAUUGUGCCAGCGUCUCUAGGCUUCCUCUAGGCUCUUGUGGAACCUCCGGCAGGCUCCCAUCAUCGGCUCCCAUCACCGGCCUCUUCCAAAACCAUCCCUUACGCUAACUCGAUUGUCCGGUUGGCUUAGAAUUCCAGAGGAUCUGGGAAGGCCCUGCCCUCCCUGCUAGCCCCUGGCACAGAUCCGCACAGAUCCCCACCUCCCCCGACUUGCUCAGCCACAGCCAGGAUCUAGUCUGGUCUUUCUCUGUUGACCUUUUUGUGUGGCAGGAGUGGGUUUUCCUGUUCCCCAGGCCCUCUAAUAUUUCCAGACAUAAAUUCCAGGAAUCCCAUGCUUCCCUCUUGAGGGGCCAUUUCAGCCUCAGGAAAGGCCUUCAGAGACUUAGAAGGAAUGUCGUGUUCCAAGGAAUGAAGAGGCAGCCUUGAUGUGCCGUGUUUGUCAGGACUGGCCUUGGGAAAGGUUCAUUGUUUGGGUGAGAAUACAACGCAGGCGAUCUCGAGUGGUCUUAUUUUUUAACGUGAUCAUGUAUAAUAUUAAAAUACUCUUUCCCACUUA